UGAGUACGAGAUGCUACGGCAUCGAAGCAGUCUAUGUCAUACUUCCAAGAAAAGCUUGCACUGUCAUAAACAAAGAAUGCCUGUACCAUAACCGACACAGGUGGGUAGGUAGAGUAUACUAAGGGGCGCGAGAUAACUCUCUCUAAGGAACUCGGCAAAAUGACUCCGUAACUUCGGGAGAAGGAGUGCCUUAUUUCUAAGGUUGCAAUAACAAGAUCCAAGCAACUGUUUACCAAAAACACAGGUCUCCGCUAAGUCGUAGGACGAUGUAUGGGGGCUGACGCCUGCCCAGUGCCAGAAGGUUAAAGAAGUUGGUUAGCAUUAGCGAAGCUGAUAACUGAAGCCCUGGUGAACGGCGGCCGUAACAAUAACGGUCCUAAGGUAGCGAAAUUCCUUGUCGGGUAAGUUCCGACCCGCACGAAAGGCGUAAUGAUUUGGAUACUGUCUCGGAGAGGGGCUCGGUGAAAUAGACUUGUCUGUGAAGAUGCGGACUACCUGCACCUGGACAGAAAGACCCUAUGAAGCUUUACUGUAACUUGAGAUUGAAAUUGGACUUUAUUUGCGCAGUAUAGGUGGGAGGCGUUGAGAAUAAUCUUGCGGGAUUGUUGGAGCCAUCAGUGAGAUACCACUCUUGUAAUGUUAGAUUUCUAACUUUGUAUCAUUAUCUGGUCAGAGAACAGUUUCAGGCGGGCAGUUUGACUGGGGCGGUCGCCUCCCAAAGGGUAACGGAGGCGCACAAAGGUUUCCUCUGAACGGGUAGAAAUCGUAUCUAGAGUGUAAAGGCAUAAGGAAGCUUGACUGUGAGACCUACAAGUCGAGCAGGGACGAAAGUCGGUCUUAGUGAUCUGACGGUGCUGAGUGGAAAGGCCGUCACUCAACGGAUAAAAGUUACUCUAAGGAUAACAGGCUGAUCUCCCCCAAGAGUUCACAUCGACGGGGAGGUUUGGCACCUCGAUGUCGGCUCAUCGCAUCCUGGGGCGGUAGUCCGUCCCAAGGGUUGGGCUGUUCGCCCAUGAAAGCGGUACGCGAGCUGGGUUCAGAACGUCGUGAGACAGUUCGGUCCAUAUCCGGUGUAGGCGUUAGAAUAUUGAGAGGAGCCUUCUCUAGUACGAGAGGACCGAGAAGGACAUACCUCUGGUGUACCAGUUAUCGUGCCAACGGUAAACGCUGGGUAGCUAUGUAUGGAGUGGAUAACCGCUGAAAGCAUCUAAGUGGGAAGCCCACCUCAAGAUAAG
rnacentral:rRNA from 1 species